rnacentral:lncRNA from 1 species
UCCUUCGUAUGCCUCAAGGUACUCGUCUACUGAGAAUCAAUUUCGAAAAGGUGAUCAUUGUUCGUAUGCAAGUCAUUCUAUACAUACCCAACGAGAGUCUUUCUGUUCUAAUUCAUUUGUAACAUCUCUAUCCUAUAAUGAAAGGAAGACACAAAAAGAAAUAACAGGAAAAGAGAGGCAAGAGAUGUUGAUGCUAGAGAAUGAGCGAAUAUGGAAUGAGAUUGAGAGACGA